CUAGCCUACGGGACGCAGCAGUGGGGAAUAUUGGGCAAUGGGCGCAAGCCUGACCCAGCAACGCCGCGUGAAGGAAGAAGGCUUUCGGGUUGUAAACUUCUUUUGUCAGGGACGAAGCAAGUGACGGUACCUGACGAAUAAGCCACGGCUAACUACGUGCCAGCAGCCGCGGUAAUACGUAGGUGGCAAGCGUUAUCCGGAUUUAUUGGGUGUAAAGGGCGUGUAGGCGGGAAUGCAAGUCAGAUGGGAAAACUAUGGGCUCAACCCAUAGCCUGCAUUUGAACCUGUAUUUCUUAAGUGCUGGG
rnacentral:rRNA from 1 species